ACGGGAGGCAGCAGUGGGGAAUAUUGGACAAUGGGGGAAACCCUGAUCCAGCGACGCCGCGUGAGUGAAGAAGUAUUUCGGUAUGUAAAGCUCUAUCAGCAGGGAAGAAAAUGACGGUACCUGACUAAGAAGCCCUGGCUAACUACGUGCCAGCAGCCGCGGUAAUACGUAGGGGGCAAGCGUUAUCCGGAUUUACUGGGUGUAAAGGGAGCGUAGACGGUAUGGCAAGUCUGGUGUGAAAACCCGGGGCUCAACCCCGGGAUUGCAUUGGAAACUGUCAAACUAGAGUGCAGGAGAGGUAAGUGGAAUUCCUAGUGUAGCGGUGAAAUGCGUAGAUAUUAGGAGGAACACCAGUGGCGAAGGCGGUUAGCUGGACAAUAACUGACGCUGAGGCGCGAAAGCGUGGGUAGCAAACAGGAUUAGAUACCCUGGUA
rnacentral:rRNA from 1 species